rnacentral:rRNA from 1 species
UCAAUGAAGAGUUUGAUCCUGGCUCAGAACGAACGCUGGUGGCGUGUCUUAUACAUGCAAGUCGAGCGAGGCAGCAAUGCCGAGCGGCGAACGGGUGAGUAACGCGUAAGCAAUCUGCCCCAUAUCAGGAAAUACCCGUGCCAACGCGCGGUUAAUGUCCAGGAGAGUGGCCCCCUGCAUGGGGGGUUGACUAGAGAUUUAUCGGUAU